CCACCCACUGCAUCAGUGGUUUAUAUAGCAACCUGCUCUGCACAAUAUUUGUGUAAGUCUGUGAACAAUCAUGUAUAUUGUUAUCGGUAAAAAUCUUAUACCCAUUACUGUGCAAUAACCCUGCAAUGACCUCAUACUCUCUCUAACUGUACUGUACUGCUUUGUACUGUGCCAACACAAACUGUUCUGUACCUGUAUUCUUGCUCUUCUGUACUGCUGUUGUGAGAGGUAAUUUCCCCACUGCGGGACUAUUAAAGGUUUUCUUAUUCUUAUUCUCACCCAUCCCCUGCGGCUGCAGUGCAGCGCCUGUUGAGCUCGUGUAAGAUACUUUACCAAAGGAAAACACUUCACUUGGUGCUCUGGUGGGCUUGAUUUGCUCCUUAAAUUGAACAAAACGCUGUACCAGUGAAUGCUUUUUUCCUUUCUCUCCAAAGAAGCUCACACCGGCAACGUUUCUACGCUUACCUAGUUUAGCUGUGUAACAAUACCCUAAUGUAAUGCUCUGCAUUGUGACAUGCUUAAAUCAGUGGUACAUAACACGAUGAGGCAGGUUUUGCGUCUACGAUCAAUGUUGUAUUGUAUACCCAACUACAAAAAUUGGCAGCGAAAUUGGCAGCGUCGACCAAGAUGGAAGUCGACCACAUACACUCAGCGAUUUGUACAACACCCCUACUAUUGACCUGUAAAGUGUUCAGCAACAAUGCAUGAAACUCAGGGGUUUAAGGUCAAGUGGUAGAGCGCUCACUUUGCAUGCGAGAGCCAGUGGGAUCAAUGCCCACAUUCUCCAUGUGUCUUUGUUUCUUCUCACAAAUGUUUUUUUUUAAUUCAUUUUGAAAAAAUGUCAGCAAAUGUGUCUGAAAACCAACUACAAGUAAUAAUUUACUAGGCCGAUGAGGAUGGGAGUCGAACCCACGCGUGCAGAGCACAAUGGAAUAGCAGUCCAUCGCCUUAACCACUAGCCACCUCAUCUGUCCUCCAAGGAAAUUUACAUCCUUCACAACAAUAUUUUCAAUGAGAGCUUGCUGAGCAUGCAAUGGGAAUUGGGGUUGAAGCCCAAAUUCUGCAAGUGUCUUUCUUUCAUGAUCUGGUUUCGCUCAGUCUGCAGGUCAAUAGCCUGUUUUCCAACUAUAUAUUCCCAGGCUCACCUACAUCCCAGUGAAUGAAGUGAAUGCUUGGUGAUUAGUUUUA
rnacentral:tRNA from 1 species